ensembl:lncRNA
GGUGAGGGUUUACAGAGAGGUAAUUGAUAAUCAGGUGAGGGUUUACAGAGAGGUAAUUGAUAAUCAGGUGAGGGUUUACAGAGAGGUAAUUGAUAAUCAGGUGAGCUGAACUAAGGGUUUACAGAGAGGUAAUUGAUAAUCAGGUGAGGGUUUACAGAGAGGUAAUUGAUAAUCAGGUGAGGGUUUACAGAGAGGUAAUUGCUAAUCAGGUGAGCUGAACUUUCACAGCAACAGUAAACACCUGAAAGUAGCCUAAUUAUUUAACAAGCCCUUUGGUUUGGGAGUGAACAUUCUCCAUAGCUGAAGAGAGAGAAGACUGUAAGAGGCUCAUAUGGGAUUCUAGGUCAUCUCUGAUGUAUGACAGGAUUGAAAACAACACCAUCUCUGAUGUAUGACAGGUUUGAAAACAACACCAUCUCUGAUGUAUGACAGGAUUGAAAACAACACCAUCUCUGAUGUAUGACAGGAUUGAAAACAACACCAUCUCUGAUGUAUGACAGUAUUGAAAACAACACCAUCUCUGAUGUAUGACAGUAUUGAAAACAACACCAUCUCUGAUGUAUGACAGUUUGAAAACACACCAUCUCUGAUGUAUGACUGUAUUGAAAACAACACCAUCUCUGAUGUAUGACAGUAUUGAAAACAACACAAUCUCUGAUGUAUGACAGUAUUGAAAACACACCAUCUCUGAUGUAUGACAGUAUUGAAAACACACCAUCUCUGAUGUAUGACAGUAUUGAAAACACACCAUCUCUGAUGUAUGACAGGGUUGAAAACAACACCAUCUCUGAUGUAUGACAGUAUUGAAAACACACCAUCUUAUUCCUGUUGGUGAAAUCCUGUCAUAGUAUUCCCCAUCAGGAAGCCAAACCCACUGGGCAAAACAUUAUUUAAUUUAAACCAGAAACAUCUAUGUGAUGACAUAGUCAUCAAGAUAAGGGCAUUUCAUAUUUUCUUCACCCAACUUUUUUAUUGUAUUUAAAAAAUAUUUUAAAAAUUGCCCCUUUUUCUCCCCAAUUUUGUGGUAUCCAAUUGGUAGUUACAGUCUUGUAUCAUCGCUACAACUCCCAUACGGACUGGGGAGAGGCGUGCAUCCUUAAAACACAGCCCAGUCGCACUGCUUCUUGACACAAUGCCCACUUAACCCGGAAGCGCUUCCGGGUCCAAAACAACUAGCAUGCACUGCGCCCAGCCCGCCACAGGAGUCACUAGUGAGCGAUGGGACAAGAACAUCCCUGUCGGCCAAACCCUCCCCUAACCUGGACGACGCUGGGCCAUUUUUUCAUCGCCCCAUGGGCCUGGACUCAAACCAAAUCUCUAGUGGCACAGCUAGCACUGUGAUGCAGUGCCUUAGACAACUGCGCCACUCCAGAGGCCACUUUCACCCAACUUUUAACCUAAAUACAUGCCCACUAGGUACAGACGUCAAUAUAACGUCUAUUCCACGUUGGUUCAUUGUAAUUUCAUUAAAUUACGUGGAAACAACGUUGAUUCAACCAGUGUGUGUCCAGUGGGUGGUGACGUUUUUUUUCUUCAUUUAAAGUUGAAUUCACAUUAGUUGACAACUCAACCAAACGUAAAUCAAAACUAGAUGUUGAACUGACGUCUUUGCCCAGUGAGAUGUAAUACCUAUUGGGCUAUCCAUAUUCCUAAUCGGGCAAACCAGGGACCAGGACCAAACGCCUUAGGACGGCAUUGACAUGAAGCAAGUGUAUAAUUUACCUGUUGCGUGAUAUCAGCAGCACACUCACAGUGCUGGAGCGGUCAUAUGUGUUAUCUGUUCCACUGCGGAGCUACUGAGGUAAAUAUUACAGAGCAGGGAUUACUGGGUAACGUUAGGGACAGGUUCAGUAUGGCUGAGGGUAAUACAUUCCUACCCCCUAUCAUUAUUCAUCCCUGUAACGCCCCGUCGGGCUGUAACGCCCCGUCGGGCAUGACCGCAUAUGAAAAGGCCCUCCGUGUGUUUCGGUGAGAUAAAAGAGGACUGGUAGAAAAGAUCCGAGAGGGCCCGCACGUUAUUCCCAUGAUGCCUUGCAAUCCAGGUGGCUGUUUCUGGAGAUGAGAGUGGACCAGACAUGGACGGUCUGAGAUUAAGGUGUCACGGAGCUGAGCCACAGGACACUGAGCAGAGGCACGUAGAGGAGAUAUCAACGGUGGAUGUAUCAGAGGGACUCCAGGGAACAUCAGGUAGAGAUAUCAACGGUGGAUGUAUCAGAGGAACUCCAGAGAAUAUCAGGUAGAGAUAUCAACGGUGGAUGUAUCAGAGGAACUCCAGAGAAUAUCAGGUAGAGAUAUCAACGGUUGAUGUAUCAGAGGAACUCCAGAGAAUAUCAGGUAGAGAUAUCAACGGUGGAUGUAUCAGAGGAACUCCAGGGAAUAUCAGGUAGAGAUAUCAACGGUGGAUGUAUCAGAGGAGCUCCAGAGAACAUCAGGUAGAGAUAUCAAGUAGAGAUAUACCUUAAG